UACAGGGGGUGCAAACGUUGCUCGGAAUCAUUGGGCGUAAAGCGCACGUAGGCGGUUCGUUAUGUCGGAUGUGAAAGGCCCUUGGCUUAACCGAGGAAGUGCAUCCGAAACUGGCGAGCUAGAGUACGAAAGAGGAUCGCGGAAUUCCCGGUGUAGAGGUGAAAUUCGUAGAUAUCGGGAGGAACACCGGUGGCGAAGGCGGCGAUCUGGGUCGAUACUGACGCUGAGGUGCGAAAGCGUGGGGAGCAAACAGG
rnacentral:rRNA from 1 species